AAUGAAUAUUGCUCAAAGUGCUUUGAAACAUUGAGAGGGCUUCCCGUGGUGACCAACCUGUGGCAGCACUUUAUUGCAGAGAUCCCCUUAAUCAGUCUCUCCAGGUAUAUGGGGAUUUCUGAAAUUCCAGACGAAUAAUCUUAUCACAGUGCAAAAUUAUUCUGUCCUAUAAAUGGCAACAACAAAAAGCAUUCAUUUCAAGUGGUUAGUAGACAGAUAAAAUGAAGGAGGCGUCAGUGGAACUUGAAGGAUGAGUUUGGCAAGCAAAAAUAAUAGCACGUCCUUCUUGGAGCCAAGAGGGAGCAACCUGUGUUCACUAACGACAGAGCUGAGGAUACAUAGAGCAGAAGGAGUGCAUGAAUAUGUAUAAAUGCUUGUGUGUGUGUGUGUGUGUGUGUGUGUGUGUGUGUGUGUGUGUGACCGAUAGAGACAGAGAGAGACAGCAAGAGAUAGAGAGAAGGAGAAGUAAAAAGAGGACAGUGGCAAGGUGGAAGCACGCAGCUCCCAUCUGUACCUAAUGGUACUUUCUCCUUUACAGAGUACUGCACUCCCCUCAAUCCUCACCCAAGCUGUUGGGUUGACACAGGAGGAAACUGAAGCCCAGAGGACAUAAUUUAUCUCCCUCCUUGAUACUGGCAUGUGAAGAAGCUGAGGCAGAAGCUGAAGGAAUGGCCACAGGCGCCAAGGAUGGCCAAGGAGGCCCUUGAUGCUUCUGGUCCUGCUGGGACCACUGAACACACAUGGACCUCUCUGCAACUUGAGCAAGGGAGGGUCAGGCUGGGUGACAAAGGCAUGAGCAGAGCUGCCCAGGGUGUCUCUGUGCAUGUUCAUCCCAGUCUUAGCAGAGCACAAUUUCAAUCCACGUUUCAGAUUCACCCAGAUGCCUUGGAUAAUUUGUUUUGGAAAACAUAUAUUGAAGUUACCAGAGCCACAGUAUGACAGAAGACUGGGUCCCAGAAUCAGAACUGCAAGGAAAGUCAUGCACUAAUGAAGAAAACAAUUCUUAAGGCUUAUGUGAGCCGAAAACAAACUUGUCAUGUUGCUGCCUUCAUCCAUUUUUAGAAGAUGUUUGUCCCCAGUAGUGCUACUCUAAUAAAAUACAUCAUCAACACAGUAACUUAAACUGGUCUCAUUAUAAAUCCUAGCUCUCCUAUCAUCGCAGUUUAAAUCCAGCCUACUGAUGUGGAAAGGCAUAUAAAUGCCUUCCAGAUUCUGAAAGGCAUAAUUUUCUUCACUUAUUUCAGGUUUUACUAAGGAUUCCAUACCCUUUGCUUCUGUUGAAUUAUUUCGUAGACACUAUUUUGUAAAGUAGAUAGAAGAGGUGCCUAGGAUUUAGGGUUUUUAAUGUCUUUCCAUCUUCCCAGGAUGCCUGUAUAGUAAUCAUUUAAAAUACAAGACAAUCCAAUAACAUGACAUGAAGCUUUCCACGAACUCAAAGAACCAAUGAGAAUAGACUUCUCUAAAAUAUUGGUGAACAAAUGAAUACUUGCCAGAGUCAGAACAAUGCAUUUUAAUUGAAUUAUUGCACUCACCAGGCAUUCCUGAG
rnacentral:lncRNA from 10 species